rnacentral:lncRNA from 1 species
GCUGUGUCAUAACUUGUAAAAUCUGUGCUGAAAACAUAGACAUUGAUGGUAUUUGAGUAAUUCCAUAUGUGAAGCUCAACAUUAGCUUGUCAGUUGGUGGUGGAUAGUUAUAGUUCCUUUCUGCAGGCUAGGAUGAAUGACUUUUCAGGAAAACCAAUUUCACAAAUCAAAACUUUCCUCUAGAUUUCUCCUACAAUAUUCAUCCAGUUUAGUUCUUUGGUUU